ACACGCCCCCCGAGCCACGUCCUUCCCUUUAACCCCGAAGUGGGUGGGCAGGUGGGACAGGUACAGGUGUGAUGGGUACAGGUGAGAUGGGUACAGGUGUGCCAGGUGUGAUGGGCAUAGGUGUGAAGGGUGCAGGUGAGAUGGUACAGGUGUGA
rnacentral:lncRNA from 1 species